CUCUUCUUGGAUUUAUUAACUCACAUAAUGUCAUCAAUAAAUAGAUUUAUUAAUUUAUAGCACUUAUGUAUUCCUAAGAGGCAGUCCUGGAAGCAACACCAGCAAUACCUUCACAUCUCCUUAAAGCUGCUACCACCACCAUCAAGGUCAAAGCGUACCAACAACUAACAUUUACAAAGUAUUUAUCAACUUCAUUGUUAGCAGAGGUACAGCCAGAAGGCACUCAAGCCUCACAGUUACUUACAUCACGCACUCUCAUCCUAUUCUUGUUUUCAGGGGCCCUGUUUUUCCCCACCAGCUUGCUUCACCUCACAGAGCUUUGAGGCCCUCUCAAAAAGAGAAUUUUACCAGAAAAUAAUGCAGGUUGGGCUUUGCCCCUCUGCUUUCAGGAUUAACCAUCACUAGGCCCCAAAGCAGGCACAGCUGCCAGCACAGGCCGUACUGAGGGAAGGGCCUCACCACACAGCUGCUCCCAAUAGGCAGGGCAGCUUCCCCAGGCAGAAAUUAGUGCUGGCAUUGCUGGAGGGGCUCUGAUUAAUUAAUGCUGCUCAGCUGCCUAUUAGAAAGCCCAUAAUAUUACCUCAAAAAAAAAAAAAAAAAGAAAAAAAAAGAAAAAAAAAAAGAGAUUCUCCAAGCUCCUUAUUUUGCUGCCGAAAUAUGAGGAAUCCUUAGGAGACAUUAUCCCUCAUAGAACGGCUACUUACUGUCCUCUCCCCACGCCAAGGACCAGGCCUGCCCUCCAUUGCACAGGUUUAACAUGGAUUUUGGAUUUGCCUGGACAGGAGUUCUGAGCAUUCCCUGAGAGAGUUCUGUGUAAAACAAGAGGCACUUCAGGGCCCUGGAGGCCGCAGUCACAGGAGGGAAGCAGCGUGUGGGAACCUGGAUGUAGCAGGAGCCUAAUGGAGUGUUACAGCUGCAGCAUCCUGUGUAGCAUCCCCUCUGCUUGUCACUUGAGCUAUAACGACAGACCUUCUCCACCUACCCUUGAGCUGCUGCACUAUAUGAAAGUGAAGGAGCCUUCCUGCAGGAAGCAGAAGAAGGAUUAGCAGGGACAAAUUCAAUUAGAUGAGGAUGGUGAGGAGAAAACUGAACAGAAAUCCACCAGAAGGUCAAUGUAUGUGGCAGAGAGUUAAAAAGAAAAAACUGAGGCAACUGCAAGAACUGCCUGAAAAACAGCUUUGAAAUCUUUAACAGAGCUUUAGUGAAAUCAGCAAAGAAAAAUAAUAAAUAUAGGAACACUAAUGUGAAAAAAUAAUCC
rnacentral:lncRNA from 1 species